rnacentral:rRNA from 1 species
GACAGAGGGGGCAAGCGUUGCUCGGAAUUACUGGGCGUAAAGGGCGCGCAGGCGGCUACGCACGUCCGUUGUGAAAUCGCUCGGCUCAACUGGGCGGGGUCGGCGGAUACGGCGUAGCUGGAGCAAGCUAGGGGGCAAUGGAAUUCCCGGUGUAGUGGUGGAAUGCGUAGAUAUCGGGAGGAACACCAGUGGCGAAGGCGGUUGCCUGGAGCUUUGCUGACGCUGAGGCGCGAAAGCGUGGGGAGCGAUCCGG